GUCCAGCUGACGUGUCCCAAACAGGACGAAACUUCAGUCCUAGAU
rfam:Schistosoma curassoni strain Dakar, Senegal genome assembly, scaffold: SCTD_scaffold0001075